UAAUGGAAUCAGGGGGCGGGACUUCCUCAUGCUAUUCUCAUGAUAGCAAAUAAGUCUCAUGAGAUAUUAUGAUUUCAUAAAGGGGAGUUUCCUUGCACACAUUCUCUCUUGCCUGCCAUCAUGUAAGAUGUGGUUUUUGCUCCUCUUUUGUCUUCUGCCAUGGUUGUGAGGCCUCCCCAGUCAUGUGGAACUGAAUUGGAGGCAAGGGUGAGAGAAGAACAGACAGAAAAGUCAUUCUUGAGCAUUAGAUGUCAUCACAGCAAGGCAUUUUGUGUUGUACAAUUUUAAAGAAAGUAAAACAUAAUAGCUUCUAGCAAUACACGUAUCUGAAAUAGAUAGAACAAAGUAAAUAUAGCAGGCAAAGUGCUCAAUUUAGACAAACUCAAGUUGGCUGUAAAAUAAAUUGUGAUUAUUUUCCUGAGAUAUACUGCAUUGAUAGGGACACUUUUCUUCUGC
rnacentral:lncRNA from 1 species